GGGAAAUUUUAUUUUUACACUUUCAUUGGUACCACUUUUCAACUUUACCACCAAUCAAAAGACAUUUUCAUAAAUACCACAUUGAUUAAUAAGAUAUCCAUUGCCUCCGUCGAGAUCUAACCUAACCUCCGUGCUUCCGUCGAGAUCUAUCGUCGAUGGAUUCUCCUCUCUCUCCACCGGAUUCUCUCUCUCUCUCUCUCUCUCUCUCUCUCUCUCACGCCGUCGAUUUUCUCAGCUCUGGAUUGACACUACUUCUUGGUUGGUUUUGGUGGUGGAUGUUAAACCCAGCUUGCUCUUUGGAGAGUCUGAGAGAUUCUUGCUCAAAGACUCACUCGUAUGGGUGAUGUCGUUCUUGUGAAAGAUGAUGCUGUACUGGACACUGAAUUCAAAAUGAUUGGACUUGAAACACUGAUAGGUUACAGAGUAGUGACACCAGGAGGGCGUAACAUCGGAAAAGUGGUUUAUAUUCUUCCUACAUCUUUAUUCAGUCUCUUUGCCAUUAGAUUGUUUAUUAACUGUAGAAGAAGCACAUGGUUUUUUUUUCAGGUUCGAGGUUACUCAUUCAACAUUAACUCUGGAAUAGUGGUUUAUGGUCUUUCAAUCUAUUUAUGUAUUCUUGAAUGGAUUAAUUGUGUUUGCAAGAAAGAAGUAUCUAUAAUGAUUAAUAAACUUAUUUAUGC